GACGAACGCUGGCGGCGUGCUUAACACAUGCAAGUCGAACGGAAAGGCCCUGCUUUUGUGGGGUGCUCGAGUGGCGAACGGGUGAGUAACACGUGAGUAACCUGCCCUUGACUUUGGGAUAACUUCAGGAAACUGGGGCUAAUACCGGAUAGGAGCCCCUGUUGCAUGGUGGGGGUUGGAAAGUUUCGGCGGUUGGGGAUGGACUCGCGGCUUAUCAGCUUGUUGGUGGGGUAGUGGCUUACCAAGGCUUUGACGGGUAGCCGGCCUGAGAGGGUGACCGGCCACAUUGGGACUGAGAUACGGCCCAGACUCCUACGGGAGGCAGCAGUGGGGAAUAUUGCACAAUGGGCGGAAGCCUGAUGCAGCAACGCCGCGUGCGGGAUGACGGCCUUCGGGUUGUAAACCGCUUUCGCCUGUGACGAAGCGUGAGUGACGGUAAUGGGUAAAGAAGCACCGGCUAACUACGUG
rnacentral:rRNA from 1 species